rnacentral:tRNA from 1 species
UAUAUAAAGAGCUUUAAAGCAACUUAAUUUCGACUUAAGUGUUGGGUAAAAUUGGUGAAUAAUCACAUCAUUAUUUC